rnacentral:rRNA from 1 species
AUCGAACGCUGGCGGCAGGCCUAACACAUGCAAGUCGAGCGGAUGAGGCCUGCUUUCUCCUGGAUCCAGCGUCGGACGGGUGAGUAAUGCCUAGGAAUCUCCUUGGUAGUGGGGGAUAAUGUCCUGAAACGGGCGCUAAUACCGCCUACUUCCUGAGGGUGAAACUGGGGGAUCUUCGGACCUCACGCUAUCAUGUGGGCCUAGGUCGGAUUAGCUAGUUGGUGGGUUAAAGGCCUACCAAGGCGACGAUUCGUAACUGGUCUGAGAGGAUGAUCAGUCACCCUGGAACUGAGACACGGUCCAGACUCCUGCGGGACGCAGCAGUGGGGAAUAUUGGACAAUGGGCGAAAGCCUGAUCCAGCCAUGCCGCGUGUGUGAAGAAGGUCUUCGGAUUGUAAAGCACUUUAAGUUGGGAGGAAGGGCAGUAAGUUAAUACCUUGCUGUUUUGACGUUACCAACAGAAUAAGCACCGGCUAACUUCGUG